UGAGGCAGGAGAAUUGCUUGAACCCAGGAGGUGGAGGCUGCCGUGAGCCAAGAUCGAGCCACUGUACUCCAGCCUGGGCAACAGAGUGAGACUCCGUCU
rnacentral:miRNA from 1 species